rnacentral:rRNA from 1 species
CUACGGGUUGCUCCAGUGGGGAAUAUUGCACAAUGGGCGCAAGCCUGAUGCAGCCAUGCCGCGUGUAUGAAGAAGGCCUUCGGGUUGUAAAGUACUUUCAGCGGGGAGGAAGGGAGUAAAGUUAAUACCUUUGCUCAUUGACGUUACCCGCAGAAGAAGCACCGGCUAACUCCGUGCCAGCAGCCGCGGUAAUACGGAGGGUGCAAGCGUUAAUCGGAAUUACUGGGCGUAAAGCGCACGCAGGCGGUUUGUUAAGUCAGAUGUGAAAUCCCCGGGCUCAACCUGGGAACUGCAUCUGAUACUGGCAAGCUUGAGUCUCGUAGAGGGGGGUAGAAUUCCAGGUGUAGCGGUGAAAUGCGUAGAGAUCUGGAGGAAUACCGGUGGCGAAGGCGGCCCCCUGGACGAAGACUGACGCUCAGGUGCGAAAGCGUGGGGAGCAAACAGGAUUAGAUACCCGCGUAGUC